GUUUCCUAUUAUGCUAGGGGAAUAAGACGCCUACUGUCCUCCCCACUCCUACGCCGCCGUUAAGCGAUCAGGGCCGCAGGAUUCCAUAUUAGACUUAAGAGGCGGAGGCAGAAUUUUAAGGAGCACAGGAAAAAUUCAGAACAUUACUCAUCUUUUCCACUUGCUGAAGACUGGAGAAGGGACCCGCAUGAGAAUAUGAUGGGAGGGGGAGCAUGACUUCGCUUUUGAAGGCGGAUGAAGAUUUGUUUGUGGGGCCACCUUAAGCCUUGUUGAACCUUGCAAGUGGUUGGAGCAACAUUGAGUUUCUGAAACUGUGACUAAACCGUGCAUUCAUUUUGGGAUCCUGCCCUUGUGUAGACCUGUUGUGUGCACUUGCUACAUGUUAUAUGUGCAAUGAGCCUGCACAACAUGCGACUCGUCAGGUUGACUGCAGGCUGCAUAAUGCAGCAAAAGCUGGUGCUUGACAAUUCCUGUAGCACAUUGACUUCAGCAGACUGGGCCACAUGUGGUACAGGCCUAGUGCCUAAGAGUACUAUGAGACACUUCCGCUAAUCCUUAUGAGAGUCGCUGGGCAUAAGAGUCAGACCAAGUUACCCAUUCUCAUGCCAAACCUAUUUGGAUUAGUUUCAUGCUCUCCGAUAACCUUGAGAUAUAUAUAUCUUUCACUCGCUGCAUUAAUGGUUUCACUGACCUUGUGCAAUUGAUCUGCAUUUUGUUGCCAGUGAGGAGACAGUUUCUUGGUACCUGCCUUUAAAAUUGUGUUGUUUGUCAAGGGUUGCAGCUCUCAUUACACUGAUAAGGCACAUUCUCCAUUUCCUGGAUUUCUCUGCUGAGGACUUCCAGAGCACAUUUAGGCCACUCUGAUUUUUAAAAUAUUGAUAAUCUUAGGAGCGGACUUUGAAUACAAUGUUGCCAACAUACUGAAGCGCCAAACAAAAAGUGUUAAAGAAAUAACAGAGUCUAAGCCACAAUUUUCAUUAUCACAAUACUCACGUUAGAGCUAUGGAUAGCUGAGUUAUAUGAAAUAUGAAAAUCUAAUUGUUUUGCACCAAAUGCAUUUUACAAAAUGCAGGAUAAAAAUAGUCCAGUGCUGUUUCUCUUCUGUGCUUUCUUUUGGAGCAAGACUGCUUUUAUGGUGGAGUUAUUACAACCGGGUGUUUGCAAUCAAAAUGCUGAUCCAGGCAAAAUCACCACACAAUAAUACUAACCCCCACCCAAGGGCUGUUUGAAGUAAUAAAAUAUGGAUCAGAAUAAAAUUAAAGUGCUUCUGUAAUGGAAGAAUAUGAGCUGCAAUUCAACUAACUUGAAGGCCCUGGCUUUUAUCCCAAAUACUGCUAAGCUUUUGAGUAGGAAAUAGAAUCCAAAGUACUCCAUCCUGCAAAGUCUUUUAAUUGUGUACCAAUACACAAUGUAGUGUAGUGCCCAUGGAAAUAAAACUUAUACAAGGUUAACAGUUAAAGUUCUCCCCAAAGAAUCUUGGGCAUCAUAGUAUUUACGACAAUGCCAUUUAUUCUCUGAAAGCGAUAGCUAGCCUUCUUCACAGAAAGUUACUUCACAAGAGUCUUUAGAAAGAGAAUGACAAGCUAAACCUGUCUAAGACUAUAGUGCAGAUAGGUCCUUGUAGGAUUAUUCACUGCAUGGUUAGUCACUGGCAAAAUAUCAAGCUUUGAUAGCAUAGUGUAUCUUCAUUGCAUGUUUUGCAAACAGUUUGCAAAAUAUCUGUCCAAAACAGAAUUUAUCUUUAUUGCACUGAACAAACAAACAGCACACAAGAACAUCCUAGCUAUAGAACAAAAGAAAAGAAUGAAUUUGUGCUGCUUUCACCACACUGAAAGUGCUGCUUCUGCACAUAACCUGCAGCAAAUUGCAUGUACACCAGGGUCAAAACAAGCUUGAGGCAUGAUCCAAUACAAGCCCCAUAAAGCCAGAACUUCUGAAGACUUUCCCAAACAGAGCUCACCACAAGGAGACUGAAAACUCACUUGGGGUAGGGGGUGGGAAGGAAAGGUCUUGCAAAUCCAAAGCCAUGGAUGUCACCCAAAGGCGCUAAGCUGUGUUUCCUCCAACAAAACAAAAUCUUAGUUUAAUAUUGACUCUCAAAUGCCAAUCCAAAUUUCUUUCAACUGAAGCUGUAACGCAAGCCCAAAAUUCUGAUACUUACAAGUAUUGCUUCCAACUUUAUCUCUAAUUCAAGUUGCCCAUCAUAACUAUUCAUUGUGAACUGAGGUUCUGACAGCUAGCAGAAGCAUACGGUAUAUUGCAGCCAUUUAGAGAGAAAAGGAAUGUGGUUCUUAAUUGAUUGGUGAUGUGGUAGUGUUGUGUUGUAUUAUUUAUGCAAAUUGAUUUCCUCUGAAGUUAAAUAUCUGACUGGGACAAACCUUGUUACGCUGAGC